rnacentral:rRNA from 1 species
CCUACGGGAUGCAGCAGUGAGGAAUCUUGGUCAAUGGGCGGAAGCCUGAACCAGCCAAGUCGCGUGAGGGAAUAAGGCCCUACGGGUCUUCAACCUCUUUUGCCGGGGAGCAAGGGCGGGGACGUGUCCCGGCCCGGAGAGUACCCGGAGAAAAAGCAUCGGCUAACUCCGUGCCAGCAGCCGCGUUACUACGGAGGAUGCGAGCGUUAUCCGGAGUUACUGUGUGUAAAGGGCGUGUAGGCGGGAGUGCAAGUCAGAUGUGAAAACUAUGGGCUCAACCCAUAGCCUGCAUUUGAAACUGUACUUAUUGAGUGCUGGAGAGGCAAUCGGAAUUCCGUGUGUAGCGGUGAAAUGCGUAGAUAUACGGAGGAACACCAGUGGCGAAGGCGGAUUGCUGGACAGUAACUGACGCUGAGGCGCGAAAGCGUGGGGAGCAAACAGGAUUAGAUACCCUUGUAGUC